AUCGAACGCUGGCGGCAGGCCUAACACAUGCAAGUCGAACGGAGUGGCGGACGGGUGAGUAAUGUCUGGGAAACUGCCUGAUGGAGGGGGAUAACUACUGGAAACGGUAGCUAAUACCGCAUACUAUCAGAUGAGCCUAGGUCGGAUUAGCUAGUUGGUGGGGUAAAGGCCUACCAAGGCGCCGAUCCGUAACUGGUCUGAGAGGAUGAUCAGCAACACUGGAACUGAGACACGGUCCAGACUCCUACGGGAGGCAGCAGUGGGGAAUAUUGGACAAUGGGCGCAAGCCGGAUACAGCCAUGCCGCGUGUGUGAAGAAGGUCUUCGGAGUGUAAAGCACUUUAAGUUGGGAGGCGUUACCAGCAGAAUAAGCACCGGCUAACUUCGUGCCAGCAGCCGCGGUAAUAC
rnacentral:rRNA from 1 species